UACAUAGGGUGCGAGCGUUGUCCGGAAUUACUGGGCGUAAAGGGCGCGUAGGCGGCGUGUCAAGUCAGGCGUGAAAGCCCCGGGCUCAACCUGGGAACCGCGCUUGAGACUGGCAUGCUCGAGUUCGGGAGAGGAUGGUGGAAUUCCCAGUGUAGAGGUGAAAUUCGUAGAUAUUGGGAAGAACACCGAUGGCGAAGGCAGCCAUCUGGACCGACACUGACGCUCAUGCACGAAAGCGUGGGGAGCAAACAGG
rnacentral:rRNA from 1 species